rnacentral:rRNA from 1 species
UACGUAGGGGGCGAGCGUUGUCCGAAGUUACUGGGCGUAAAGAGCGCGUAGGCGGGUCUUUAAGUGAGGGGUGAAAGGUUCGGGCUCAACCCGGACACUGCCUUUCAUACUGGAGACCUUGAGUGCGGGAGGGGCGAGUGGAAUGGUCGGUGUAGCGGUGAAAUGCGUAGAUAUCGAUCGGAACACCCAUGGCGAAGGCAGCUCGCUGGCCUGCAACUGACGCUGAGGCGCGAAAGCGCGGGGAGCAAACAGG